rnacentral:misc_RNA from 3 species
AACGCACCUUGCGCUCCUCGGUGUUCCGAGGAGCAUGCCUGUUUGAGUGUCAGUAAAUUCUCAACCCCUCUCGAUUUGCUUCGAGAGGGCGCUUGGAUGGUGGAGGCUGCCGGAGACCUGGAUUCGUUCAGGACUCGGGCUCCUCUGAAAUGAAUCGGCUUGCGGUCGACCUUCGACUUUGCAUGACAAGGCCUUUGGCGUGAUAAUGAUCGCCGUUCGCCGAAGUGCACGACAGAAAACGGUCCCGCGCCUCUAAUGCGUCGACGCCUUCCGGGCGUCUUCCUCAUUGACGUUUGACCUCAAAUCAGGUAGGACUACCCGCUGAACUUAA